rnacentral:rRNA from 1 species
UAGGGAAUAUUGGGCAAUGGGGGCAACCCUGAUCCAGCCAUGCCGCGUGAGUGAAGAAGGCCCUCGGGUUGUAAAGCUCUUUUGUCCGGAAAGAAAAGCAUUCGGUGAAUACCCGGAUGUUCUGACGGUACCGGAAGAAUAAGCACCGGCUAACUUCGUGCCAGCAGCCGCGGUAAUACGAAGGGUGCAAGCGUUACUCGGAAUUACUGGGCGUAAAGCGUGCGUAGGUGGUUGUUUAAGUCUGAUGUGAAAGCCCUGGGCUCAACCUGGGAAUGGCAUUGGAAACUGGGCAUCUAGAGUUCGGUUGAGGGUAGUGGAAUUCCCGGUGUAGCAGUGAAAUGCGUAGAGAUCGGGACGAACAUCUGUGGCGAAGGCGACUGCCUGGACCAGCACUGACACUGAGGCACGAAAGCGUGGGGAGCAAACA